GAUGUGUCAAGUUGUGGGA
rnacentral:siRNA from 1 species